AAACAAUGAUGAGAUAAAAGGUCACAAGUGGUCAAGUCUAUCAACUGGCAAAAAUUGGAGGCUUGGGAAAUUCAACCAAGCUUCCUGCCACUAGUAGCAAGAAAACACUACAUCGCCAAUUUCAAUGAGCGUUGGACCAACAUGCCACUUCUAGAUUCUCCAGCUGCUAGUCCAAAAUGUGGCGAAAGCCCCUUUAGGGGGUUCAGUUAUGUGAAGCUGCAGCCUAGUUCUACAGAUCUGUGAAAUGAUUUUUAGAGCUUGUUUUUAGCAACAUUUGAGGUCGUGGAAAUGAAUAUCACACUGAUUGGAUUUGUGUUGGCGAUUGUUGGUGGUGGUGUGGUAUUAGUGGCGACGGUGACGAGGUGAAGGUGGUGGAAAGUGGCGGUGGUUGCAGGUGUAGGUGUUGGUGGUGUGAUCGCUUCCUGUUUAGUGUGGAAGUGUAUUGGUGCAGUGUUUAAGUGUUUGUUGGUUUUUGGAGUCCUGGUGGUGCCGGGUGAUAGCAGUGGCGAUUGGGUGGCCUGUUUGGCUUAGUGCAAUGGCUGUUGUUGAGGUAUUUUAGUUAGGUUUGUCGGCAUUUGGAGUGCUGGUAGAUUUCAUGUUGGUGGUGGUGUUGGUAGUGGUUGUCAUGGUGUUGUGGCAGGGUCAGAUAGUGUUUGUGACCAAGUAUUGUGGUGGAUUGAGAUUGAGCUUUUGGUGUCUGUGACCAACUAUUUAGUACCUCGUGACUUUAAAAUUCAAUCACUUGUGACUUAAAAAAGUAAUCUGUGACUGUCAAAUUUGAAAAUAUGUG
rnacentral:lncRNA from 1 species